GGGGAGCAUCCAAAAGUUGAGAUGCUACCUGAUACAAUCUUCCCACAGAAAACCUCUGCGUUUUCCUGCUUGUAGUACCUUGAGCAAGUACUGCAAGUCUCAAAUUGAAAGAGACAUGA